GCCUGUUUAUCAAAAACAUGUCUUUUUGAAAAUAAUUUAAAGUUUAAUUUGCCCCCUGAUAAAAAAAAAUUAAAGGGCUGCAGUAUUUUGACUGUACAAAGGUAGCAUAAUCCUUAGUCUUUUAAUUGGUGGCUUGUAUGAAAGAUUGAAUGAGAUAUAAACUGUCUAAAAAAUAAUUAAUUGAAUUUAAUUUUUUAAUUAAAAAGUUAAAAUAUUUUAAAAAGACGAGAAGACCCUAUAGAGUUUUAUAUUAUUUAUUGAUUUAAAUUAUAUAUAAAAAUAAUAAAUUAUAAAUUAGAAAUAAUAUUUUAUUGGGGGGAUAAAAAAAUAAAAAAAACUUUUUUUAAUAUUAAACAUAAAUAAAUGGUUAUUUGAUCCAAUUUUAUUGAUUAAAAGAAAGAAUUACCUUAGGGAUAACAGCGUAAUUUUUUUUUUUAGUUUAUAUAAAAAAAAAAGUUUGCGACCUCGAUGUUGGAUUAAGAUAAAAUUUAA
rnacentral:rRNA from 1 species